rnacentral:rRNA from 1 species
UACAGGGGGUGCAAACGUUGCUCGGAAUCAUUGGGCGUAAAGCGCACGUAGGCGGUCUGUUAUGUCGGAUGUGAAAGCCUUUGGCUCAACUGAGGAAGUGCAUCCGAAACUGGCAGGCUAGAGUACUAAAGAGGAUCGCGGAAUUCCCGGUGUAGAGGUGAAAUUCGUAGAUAUCGGGAGGAACACCGGUGGCGAAGGCGGCGAUCUGGGUAGAUACUGACGCUGAGGUGCGAAAGCGUGGGGAGCAAACAGG